CCUCUGCAGGAGUCCAUGUGGUUGGAAACAAACACUAAAGUUAUUUGGACUUGGAAGCUCCUGGAAAGGGUUUUAACUGUUCCAGAGGGUGGGAGGCUUGUUUGGCAGAUAAGGCCACCGGAUAAGAGGCUCUCUGAUGAAAUUCCGUCUGCACCAAGAUGUGGGAAGAGAACUAACAUCCUCUCUGCCAGGCAUGGCCCAUAAUAAUUGUUACAGGGGGCUACCAGCUCCCACCACAUGCUGUGAGCCACGUGCUCUAGAGCCAUCUGAUGUAUUUCUGUAACUGAGAAGCAUCGCUCUGGCUGCUCAUGGUCAACAGAUUCGAGUGACACCGAGGACAAUCGGAUCAGUUUCUGACACUGCGAUGAGGCUGACACUCCACUGAUUAUGUCUCAGGCUAAUGUGAUACAACUAUUUUUCAAUAUAGAAAAAGCUGCUUGAAUAUGAGUUAAUAAUGAUAAUGCCAAAUUACAUUUAUUGAGCACGUAA